UUUUACUAUAUAGAUUUGAAUACAUUGUAAAAUAAAGUUAAUGUUAAAUUAAUUAAUUUUCAUUUCUGGAAAAAGAAAAUAGGAGUAACUUCUGUAAUGAAAAAUGUCAUUAAAUCAGGAGUCUGUUUUCAGUAUUUAAACAUCAAAAUCAUGAUGCUUAAUCAUGAUGAUAUAAACUUUCAAUAAUAUAAUUGAACAGAGCUACAAUUCGGUUUAUGCAUGAAUGAAGAAAAUAUGUUUGCAUCCCAGGAGCUCUACUAGAAUGUUAUAGAGUGAAUGCCAAGGAAAACAUGAAGAAAAAAAAGUGAAAAAUAACACAGGUUAAAAGACAAUGGGAAGAAAUGCCAUCGACUAACCACAGCUGACAACCAGAGACGCGGACACGCCAAAAAACACACACACACAAUCACACACGAAAAUACCCUUACGAAAAUUAACCAUGGUUUUACUACAAAUAAAACCAAAAAACCAUAGUUACUGUAGUUAAACCAUAGUAACCACAAAUUAACCAUGGUUUUGCUAUAUUAACCAUACACUGUAAAAAAUAUGUGUAAUUUUAACUGUAAAAUUUUGUAAAAACGCUACGGAAAAAAACUGAUAAUAGGUUAACAGUAAGUUCCCGUACUAUAUACAGGGAAAAACUGUAAAAGAUCUAACAAAGCAUUUAAUGUAAAUUUACAGUAAAAUUCUGUUAAUUAUACAGCUUUUAGAAGUAAAAAAAAGAACAAAUCAAUGUAUAAUUUACAGUCUAAAACUGUAAACUGAUAUUCCCAGAAUUCCCUGCGUGACACUCCACGUUUGAAAGUAUUUUGUUUAAAUAAUCAUGUUUUUAAAUAGUUCUUGUUAUCAGUUAUGUACAUUUGAGCUUUAUGUUACAUCUUCUGUUGCUUAAUGAAAGUUUUUUGCAUUAUUUAAGUAUCACGUGUGUUACCAUGAUGGUGUUUUGUGUUUCCAUAAAUGUGCACCUUCUAUAUGUUAAUAUAUACUUCUGCUUGUGGUGAAGCUACUUGUGAUGAGCUUUGAUACUUCAUGUGGCUUUCUCUUAUACAGUACCAUCUUUAUUAUUAUGGUGGUUGUCAGUAUUUUCAAGGUACAAAACAGAUUUAAUUUUGUGUGUUGUUGAAUUUACUGGUUUAUAUUCACAUUUUCUUGUUUGUAAAUUACAGCUUUAUAUUGUAAAAUUAACAGUUUUUGACGUAAAUGUGUUUACAGUUUUCUGUAUUUUUACAAAAUUAUUCUGGCAACCACAGCUGCCAAAAAGUUUUUGUAAAAACAACAAGAAAUUUUUUACAGUGUAGUUUAACCAUGGUAUUUGUAGUAAAUCUGUGGUUUUACAAAUGGCAGUCAAUACGCCAAAAAACCAUGGGUUACUACAGUUUUACUAUAAUAAAACCAUGGUUAUUUUUCGUAAGGGUAGCCCUGCAACUUUACCAUUGUUCAAUUAAAAUAAAUCUAUUUUGCUUCA